GAGGCGNUGCUAAUAAUGCAAGUAGAACGCUGAAAAGAGGAGCUUGCUCUUCUUGGAUGAGUUGCGAACGGGUGAGUAACGCGUAGGUAACCUGCCUUGUAGCGGGGGAUAACUAUUGGAAACGAUAGCUAAUACCGCAUAACAAUGGAUGACUCAUGUCAUUUAUUUGAAAGGGGCAAAUGCUCCACUACAAGAUGGACCUGCGUUGUAUUAGCUAGUAGGUGAGGUAACGGCUCACCUAGGCGACGAUACAUAGCCGACCUGAGAGGGUGAUCGGCCACACUGGGACUGAGACACGGCCCAGACUCCUACGGGAGGCAGCAGUAGGGAAUCUUCGGCAAUGGGGGCAACCCUGACCGAGCAACGCCGCGUGAGUGAAGAAGGUUUUCGGAUCGUAAAGCUCUGUUGUAAGUCAAGAACGAGUGUGAGAGUGGAAAGUUCACACUGUGACGGUAGCUUACCAGAAAGGGACGGCUAACUACGUGCCAGCAGCCGCGGUAAUACGUAGGUCCCGAGCGUUGUCCGGAUUUAUUGGGCGUAAAGCGAGCGCAGGCGGUUUGAUAAGUCUGAAGUUAAAGGCUGUGGCUCAACCAUAGUUCGCUUUGGAAACUGUCAAACUUGAGUGCAGAAGGGGAGAGUGGAAUUCCAUGUGUAGCGGUGAAAUGCGUAGAUAUAUGGAGGAACACCGGUGGCGAAAGCGGCUCUCUGGUCUGUAACUGACGCUGAGGCUCGAAAGCGUGGGGAGCGAACAGGAUUAGAUACCCUGGUAGUCCACGCCGUAAACGAUGAGUGCUACGUGUUGGAUCCUUUCCGGGAUUCAGUGCCGCAGCUAACGCAUUAAGCACUCCGCCUGGGGAGUACGACCGCAAGGUUGAAACUCAAAGGAAUUGACGGGGGCCCGCACAAGCGGUGGAGCAUGUGGUUUAAUUCGAAGCAACGCGAAGAACCUUACCAGGUCUUGACAUCCCGAUGCUAUUUCUAGAGAUAGAAAGUUACUUCGGUACAUCGNGGACAGGUGGUGCAUGGUUGUCGUCACCUCGUGUCGUGAGAAGAUGGGUUAAUUCCCGCCACGAGCGCANCCCCUAUGGUAGUGGCCUCAUUCAGUGGGCACUCUACCAGACUGCCGGCAUAAACCGAGGAAGGGGGAUAAGUCAAACAUCNUGCCCCUAUGACGGGGUACAACGGCU
rnacentral:rRNA from 1 species